AACGAACGCUGGCGGCAUGCCUAACACAUGCAAGUCGAACGAGACCUUCGGGUCUAGUGGCGCACGGGUGCGUAACGCGUGGGAACCUGCCCUUAGGUUCGGAAUAACUCCCCGAAAGGGGUGCUAAUACCGGAUAAUGUCUUCGGACCAAAGAUUUAUCGCCUUUGGAUGGGCCCGCGUUGGAUUCGCUAGUUGGUAGGGUAAAAGCCUACCAAGGCGACGAUCCAUAGCUGGUCUGAGAGGAUGAUCAGCCACACUGGGACUGAGACACGGCCCAGACUCCUACGGGAGGCAGCAGUGGGGAAUAUUGGACAAUGGGCGAAAGCCUGAUCCAGCAAUGCCGCGUGAGUGAUGAAGGCCUUAGGGUUGUAAGGCUCUUUUACCCGGGAUGAUAAUGACAGUACCGGGAGAAUAAGCUCCGGCUAACUCCGUG
rnacentral:rRNA from 1 species